GGUCACAGUGCAGCUGUGUUCCGUCACAGGACUGCAGAUUGAGGCCACACAGAUGCAGCAGAGCAAGACAGAUUCCUGUUAGCAGCAAGAGGUAUCCAAUGCUUGCACCCAACCAUAGUUGUAAUGAAGCCAAAAGCCAGUGAAGCUGCAUAGAAGACUUCGGAAAAGAAGUGAGGAAAGCUGUCACUGUCAGAGCGAUCUCUCACAGCACGAGCCCUUCAUUUCUCAGCGAGGCGUCAGAAGAAACAAGCAGGAUGCAAAGUCCUCCAGGAGCUUUGCAAGAAGACACACAGAGCCUCAAGUCUCACCUCCAGCUCUCCAAUGGCACUGUCAGCUCCAGAAAGCAGAGCAGGAGCAAACCUCUGGGAUAUGCCCUAGCCCUCUGGCUAUGACCAUCCAACUGAUUCUUUAUCCACAACAAUAAUAAUGAUAAAACACGACCAAUUGGGAAAAUUAGGGGAGAAGAAAAUCUGUGCCCAGUGAUCUUGCUAUGCCCUCAUGGUUCCCAUGCUGCCCCUUGGCAUGGCACAGCCCCCUGUGCCCCAGCUCCGUGAACCCCCUGCCCCAGCUCCCCUUGAUCGGGGCCCUCGCCCCCCAAAGGACUUGUUUUUUGCCUAUUUUUUUAGGGGUGGGAUUUUUCAUGAGCACUUGUGUUCCUCUCUGUCUUUCCGGAUGAAUCGUUGCUGUUUUAAGCACACAGCAAAGAUUUAUGCAGUAAUAGAUGUGGGGAAUAGCUGUGGCUCGGGGGUCUCAGAACAAUAAUACAUAAUUCAGAAAUUAAUACAGGGUAGCAAAGACAAUGGGAUUUGAAAUGAACAUUAUUGGCCAAAGCAAAAGGAAAACUCCACAGGCUCAUCAUGCGCAGAUGUCUCUGCUAUCCACACACCCAAUUAUAACUUUAGCUCUUACAAAGGGAACUGACUUAAACCGUUAAAUCUUUAUUAUUUUUUUUUCCCCACGGUGGGAGGGGGAGUGGGAGUGCAGAUUCCUUAAAGAUAGAGAGUUUAAAUUAAGCUUUAAAACUGUGACUGAGCAAGAUUUAAUACUGACAAUUAGCCUGGACAAACAGUUAAUCGUCCUGCAGGCAUAAUUUAUAUAUUCUC